GUGAACGCUGGCGGUAGGCCUAACACAUGCAAGUCGAACGGCAGCACAGUAAGAGCUUGCUCUUACGGGUGGCGAGUGGCGGACGGGUGGGGAAUACAUCGGAAUCUACUUUUUCGUGGGGGAUAACGUAGGGAAACUUACGCUAAUACCGCAUACGACCUACGGGUGAAAGCAGGGGAUCUUCGGACCUUGCGCGAUUGAAUGAGCCGAUGUCGGAUUAGCUAGUUGGCGGGGUAAAGGCCCACCAAGGCGACGAUCCGUAGCUGGUCAGAGAGGAUGAUCAGCCACACUGGAACUGAGACACGGUCCAGACUCCUACGGGAGGCAGCAGUGGGGAAUAUUGGACAAUGGGCGCAAGCCUGAUCCAGCCAUACCGCGUGGGUGAAGAAGGCCUUCGGGUUGUAAAGCCCUUUUGUUGGGAAAGAAAAGCAGCAGGUUAAUACCCCGCUGUUCUGACGGUACCCAAAGAAUAAGCACCGGCUAACUUCGUG
rnacentral:rRNA from 1 species